rnacentral:lncRNA from 1 species
ACGCAACGCAUACCGCAGCUCGGACCAAAAAACGCCAUAAAGUUAAUUGGCGCCCAACGGGAUUUAGGAUCCACGUCCCCAAGAAAAAUAACAUGUAAGUGACUGUUCGGAAAAAAUAAAGCUUGUGAGAGAAUUUUGAUCUCCCCUUCGCUGAUCGUUUAUGAGUUGGGACUAUAGAAACAAGGUCGAAUACGACAGCGACGAGAGCCUAGACUUAUUGUACCAGCCACCAGUCAGAACAGUGCAGAAUCAAUUUAAAAUGGACCCAGCCAUGAUAAAAGCGUUAGUAGAAGGCGCAAUCAACACAGCCCUCGUCGAACAGGAACGACGACUGAGUGCAGAAUUUAGCAGGGAACUCGAAAAAGUUAGAAAUAGUGUGAGCGCUCUAACUGUAGGUGUCCCUCAGGUGGAAACUUAUAAGAGAGUGACCAUUGACACUAGUAUAAAAUGUGAAGUGAAACUAGAUAUCAUAAAAUCAGUACCAACUUUCAACGGGAAUCAUGAGGAAUAUGUGUCUUGGAGACAAUCUGCUCUAGAUGCGUACGAAGUUUUCAAAAACUACUCUGGUAGUCAGACACACUACGAGGCUGUGGCCAUCAUAAAAAAUAAAAUCUGUGGAACAGCUCGAGCAUUGCUCACAUCGCACAACACGGUGCUCAAUUUUGAUGCAAUCAUAGCUAGACUCGAUUGCACAUAUGCCGACAAAACAUCCCUACGAGUAUUACGUCAACACUUGGAAAUGGUUAGGCAGGGUGAAACCGAUCUAAUGGAAUAUUAUGACGAAGUCGAGAGAAAGCUCACGCUCGUCACUAACAAAGUGGUCAUGACUCAUAAUGAGGAGGCAGCUACCAUUCUCAACGAGGAAAUUAGGAAUGAUGCUUUACACGCAUUCAUAGCGGGCCUCAAGAGGCCGCUAAAAUUGUUCGUUCUCCCGGCACAGCCCAAGGAUUUGCCAUCCGCCUUAGCUCUAACUCGCGAGGCCGAAAAUAUCAUUGAGAGAAGCGCAUUUGCCGCUACGUAUGCAAAGGUGAUUGAGGAUAAAGACCAUUCAGGCGACGGCAAUAGACAGGGUCAUCGGGCCCAGGCCAGACAAGGUAGAGGUCAGGAAAAGAACCCACAUUUUGUGGGAAAAAGUAAUCAAAAUAGGCAGCAACAGGGUGAUCCUUGGCCAAAGCCAAACGAUAAAGAGGCCCCACAACAAAACCAAGUGCAGCAUAUGGAAGUUGACCCAUCGAUGUCUAGGUUUAGGCAACAGACCAAUUGGGGGAAACCACAGAGCGACGUCACACAGGGAGAAGCUCAGAAAAGGCGGAACACGUCAGAUCGUAUAUCUGGGCAAAGACGCCAACGGAUAAAUAAUAUAAUACAGCAGGCCCCUUACCAAGGGGAACAAGAAUAUGCAAACUUAGCCGAGGCCGCGGUUGCGGAAAUUGACGAAGAAAGUGACUCGGCUAGCGGCAACGACCUGUUGAAUUUUUUUAGGGAGCGCUCCCAAUUGCCGUUCGUCGAGCGACAGUUGGCUGGCAAAACACUAAAAAUUUUAAUCGACACUGGUGCGGCUAAAAAUUAC